rnacentral:tRNA from 1 species
GGGGAUAUGGCGAAAUUGGUAGACGCUACGGACUUAAAAUCCGUCGACUUUAGAAAUCGUGAGGGUUCAAGUCCCUCUAUCC